CGCCAAGCGGUAAGGCAGCGGGUUUUGAUCCCGCCAUGCCCAGGUUCGAAUCCUGGC
rnacentral:tRNA from 1 species